UAGGGAAUCUUCCGCAAUGGGCGAAAGCCUGACGGAGCAACGCCGCGUGAGUGAUGAAGGUCUUCGGAUCGUAAAACUCUGUUAUUAGGGAAGAACAAAUGUGUAAGUAACUAUGCACGCCUUGACGGUACCUAAUCAGAAAGCCACGGCUAACUACGUGCCAGCAGCCGCGGUAAUACGGAGGUGGCAAGCGUUAUCCGGAAUUAUUAGGCGUAAAGCGCGCGGAGGCGGUUUUUUAAGUCUGAUGUGAAAGCCCACGGCUCAACCGUGGAGGGUCAUUGGAAACUGGAAAACUUGAGUGCAGAAGGCGAGAGUGGAAUUCCGUGUGUAGCGGUGAAGUGCGCAGAGAUAUGGGGGCACACCAGUGGCGAAGGCGACUUUCUGGUCUGUAACUGACGCUGGUGUGCGAAAGCGUGGGGAUCAAACAGG
rnacentral:rRNA from 1 species